UAUGGGGCGCAGCAGGCGAGAAAACUUUGCAAUGUGCGAAAGCACGACAAGGUUAAUCCGAGUGGUUUCUGCUAAAGGAACCUUUUGUUAGUCCUAGAAACACUAACGAAUAAGGGGUGGGCAAGUUCUGGUGUCAGCCGCCGCGGUAAAACCAGCACCUCAAGUGGUCAGGAUGAUUAUUGGGCCUAAAGCAUCCGUAGCCGGCUCUGUAAGUUUUCGGUUAAAUCUGUACGCUCAACGUACAGGCUGCCGGGAAUACUGCAGAGCUAGGGAGUGGGAGAGGUAGACGGUACUCGGUAGGAAGGGGUAAAAUCCUUUGAUCUAUUGAUGACCACCUGUGGCGAAGGCGGUCUACCAGAACACGUCCGACGGUGAGGGAUGAAAGCUGGGGGAGCAAACCGGAUUAGAUACCCGGGUAGUCCCAGCUGUAAACUAUGCAAACUCAGUGAUGCAUUGGCUUGUGGCCAAUGCAGUGCUGCAGGGAAGCCGUUAAGUUUGCCGCCUGGGAAGUACGUACGCAAGUAUGAAACUUAAAGGAAUUGGCGGGGGAGCACCACAAGGGGUGAAGCCUGCGGUUCAAUUGGAGUCAACGCCAGAAAUCUUACCCGGAGAGACAGCAGAAUGAAGGUCAAGCUGAAGACUUUACCAGACAAGCUGAGAGGUGGUGCAUGGCCGUCGCCAGCUCGUGCCGUGAGAUGCCCUGUUAAGUCAGGUAACGAGCGAGAUCCCUGCCUCUAGUUGCCACCAUUACUCUCAGGAGUAGUGGGGCGAAUUAGCGGGACCGCCGCAGUUAAUGCGGAGGAAGGAAGGGGCCACGGCAGGUCAGUAUGCCCCGAAACUCUGGGGCCACACGCGGGCUGCAAUGGUAAUGACAAUGGGUUCCAAAUCCGAAAGGAGGAGGUAAUCCUCAAACAUUACCACAGUUAUGACUGAGGGCUGCAACUCGCCCUCACGAAUAUGGAAUCCCUAGUAACUGCGUGUCAUUAUCGCGCGGUGAAUACGUCCCUGCUCCUUGCACACACCGCCCGUCGUUUCAUUGAAGUGAGCUUUUAGCGAGGUGACGUCUGAUUGGCGUUAUCGAACUUGAGGUUCGUGACAAGGGAAAAGUCGUAACAAUGUAACC
rnacentral:rRNA from 1 species